rnacentral:rRNA from 1 species
GACGAACGCUGGCGGCGUGCUUAACACAUGCAAGUCGAACGGUAAGGCCCUUCGGGGUACACGAGUGGCGAACGGGUGAGUAACACGUGGGUGAUCUGCCCUGCACUUCGGGAUAAGCCUGGGAAACUGGGUCUAAUACCGGAUAGGACUCCUGGCUUCAUGGUUGGGGGUGGAAAGCUUUUGCGGUGUGGGAUGGGCCCGCGGCCUAUCAGCUUGUUGGUGGGGUAAUGGCCUACCAAGGCGACGACGGGUAGCCGGCCUGAGAGGGUGACCGGUCACACUGGGACUGAGAUACGGCCCAGACUCCUACGGGAGGCAGCAGUGGGGAAUAUUGCACAAUGGGCGCAAGCCUGAUGCAGCGACGCCGCGUGAGGGAUGACGGCCUUCGGGUUGUAAACCUCUUUCAGCUAUGACGAAGCGCAAGUGACGGUAGUAGCAGAAGAAGGACCGGCCAACUACGUGCCAGCAGCCGCCGUAACAC